UACGUAGGGGGCAAGCGUUGUCCGGAAUCAUUGGGCGUAAAGAGCGUGUAGGCGGCCCGAUAAGUCCGCUGUGAAAGUCCAGGGCUCAACCCUGGAAUGCCGGUGGAUACUGUCGGGCUCGAAUCCGGAAGAGGUGAGUGGAAUUCCUGGUGUAGCGGUGAAAUGCGCAGAUAUCAGGAGGAACACCAAUGGCGAAGGCAGCUCGCUGGAACGGUACUGACACUGAGGCGCGAAAGCCAGGGGAGCAAACGGG
rnacentral:rRNA from 1 species